GCCUAAUACAUGCAAGUCGAACGGGAUUGAGAGCUUGCUUUCAUGAGAGUGGCGUGCGGGUGCGUAACGCGUAUGCAACCUACCUUCAUCAGGGGGAUAGCCCGAAGAAAUUCGGAUUAACACCGCAUAAAAACACAGCUUGGCAUCAAGCAAUGUUCAAAUAUUUAUAGGAUGAAGAUGGGCAUGCGUGUCAUUAGCUAGUUGGUAAGGUAACGGCUUACCAAGGCUACGAUGACUAGGGGAUCUGAGAGGAUGACCCCCCACACUGGUACUGAGACACGGACCAGACUCCUACGGGAGGCAGCAGUAAGGAAUAUUGGUCAAUGGAGGCAACUCUGAACCAGCCAUGCCGCGUGCAGGAAGACUGCCUUAUGGGUUGUAAACUGCUUUUAUACGGGAAUAAACCUUAAUUCGUGAAUUAAGCUGAAUGUACCGUAAGAAUAAGGAUCGGCUAACUCCGUGCCAGCAGCCGCGGUAAUACGGAGGAUCCAAGCGUUAUCCGGAUUUAUUGGGUUUAAAGGGAGCGUAGGCGGCUUGUUAAGUCAGGGGUGAAAGACGGUGGCUCAACCAUCGCAGUGCCUUUGAUACUGACGAGCUUGAAUAUAGUUGAGGUAGGCGGAAUGUGACAAGUAGCGGUGAAAUGCAUAGAUAUGUCACAGAACACCGAUUGCGAAGGCAGCUUACUAAGCUAUUAUUGACGCUGAGGCUCGAAAGCGUGGGGAUCAAACAGGAUUAGAUACCCUGGUAGUCCACGCCCUAAACGAUGAUAACUCGAUGUUGGCGAUAUACAGUCAGCGUCCAAGCGAAAGCGUUAAGUUAUCCACCUGGGGAGUACGCCCGCAAGGGUGAAACUCAAAGGAAUUGACGGGGGCCCGCACAAGCGGAGG
rnacentral:rRNA from 1 species